UGUCACAACCGUAGAAAGCUCCUGAUACUGUCUGACUUGAGUGCAGGAGAGAAAAGCGGAAUUCCCAGUGUAGCGGUGAAAUGCGUAGAUAUUGGGAGGAACACCAGUAGCGAAGGCGGCUUUCUGGACUGUGACUGACGCUGAGGCACGAAAGCGUGGGGAGCAAA
rnacentral:rRNA from 1 species